rnacentral:rRNA from 1 species
CCUGACUGCUAUCGGAUUGAUACUAAGCCAUGCGAGUCAUUGUAGCAAUACAAGGCAGACGGCUCAGUAACGCGUAGUCAACCUACCCUAUAGACGGGAAUAACCUCGGGAAACUGAGAAUAAUGCCCGAUAGAACAUUAUGCCUGGAAUGGUUUAUGUUUCAAAUGAUUUAUCGCUGUAGGAUGGGACUGCGGCCUAUCAGUUUGUUGGUGAGGUAAUGGCCCACCAAGACUAUUACAGGUACGGGCUCUGAGAGGAGUAGCCCGGAGAUGGGUACUGAGACACGGACCCAGGCCCUAUGGGGCGCAGCAGGCGAGAAAACUUUGCAAUGUGCGAAAGCACGACAAGGUUAAUCCGAGUGGUUUCUGCUAAAGGAACCUUUUGUCAGUCCUAGAAACACUGAUGAAUAAGGGGUGGGCAAGUUCUGGUGUCAGCCGCCGCGGUAAAACCAGCACCUCAAGUGGUCAGGAUGAUUAUUGGGCCUAAAGCAUCCGUAGCCGGCUCUAUAAGUUUUCGGUUAAAUCUGUAUGCUCAACGUACAGGCUGCCGGGAAUACUGUAGAGCUAGGGAGUGGGAGAGGUAGACGGUACUCGGUAGGAAGGGGUAAAAUCCUUUGAUCUAUUGAUGACCACCUGUGGCGAAGGCGGUCUACCAGAACACGUCCGACGGUGAGGGAUGAAAGCUGGGGGAGCAAACCGGAUUAGAUACCCGGGUAGUCCCAGCUGUAAACUAUGCAAACUCAGUGAUGCAUUGGCUUGAUGCCAAUGCAGUGCUGCAGGGAAGCCGUUAAGUUUGCCGCCUGGGAAGUACGUACGCAAGUAUGAAACUUAAAGGAAUUGGCGGGGGAGCACCACAAGGGGUGAAGCCUGCGGUUC